rnacentral:snRNA from 1 species
GUCUUCCAAAGUACAUAUACUAAAAUUGGAACGAUACAGAGAAGAUUAGCAUGGCCCCUGCGCAAGGAUGACACGCAAAAUCGUACUUCCAAAAUUGGA